AAAUGUUAAGAUCACUAGCUAGAAACUCUGUGGGGUUGAAGUCUUUGGUCCACUGUAGAGUCUUUCUUGUCUACCAUGUCUGCUUCUGCAGAUGUGUU
rnacentral:misc_RNA from 1 species